UACGUAGGGGGCAAGCGUUGUCCGGAUUUAUUGGGCGUAAAGAGCGUGUAGGCGGCCUGACAGGUCUGCUGUGAAAACUCGAGGCUCAACCUCGAGAUGUCGGCGGAAACCGUCUGGCUAGAGUCCGGAAGAGGAGAGUGGAAUUCCUGGUGUAGCGGUGAAAUGCGCAGAUAUCAGGAGGAACACCGGUGGCGAAGGCGGUUCUCUGGGAAUGUCCUGACGCUGAGGAGCGAAAGUGUGGGGAGCGAACAGG
rnacentral:rRNA from 1 species